UACGAAGGGUGCAAGCGUUAAUCGGAAUUACUGGGCGUAAAGCGUGCGCAGGCGGUGCUGUAAGACAGGCGUGAAAUCCCCGGGCUUAACCUGGGAAUGGCGCUUGUGACUGCAGUGCUGGAGUGCGGCAGAGGGGGAUGGAAUUCCGCGUGUAGCAGUGAAAUGCGUAGAUAUGCGGAGGAACACCAAUGGCAAAGGCAAUCCCCUGGGCCUGUACUGACGCUCAUGCACGAAAGCGUGGGGAGCAAACAGG
rnacentral:rRNA from 1 species